rnacentral:rRNA from 1 species
UACAGAGGUCCCCAAGCGUUUGUUCGGAUUCACUGGGCGUAAAGGGUGCGUAGGCGGUCGGGUAAGUCUGAUGUGAAAUCUCACAGCUUAACUGUGAAACUGCAUUGGAUACUAUUCGGCUUGAGAGUUGGAGGGGGGGACUGGAAUUCUUGGUGUAGCAGUGAAAUGCGUAGAUAUCAAGAGGAACACCAGUGGCGAAGGCGAGUCCCUGGACAACUUCUGACGCUGAGGCACGAAAGCUAGGGGGAGCAAACAGG